ACGGAGGGUGCGAGCGUUAAUCGGAAUCACUGGGCGUAAAGCGCAAGUAGGAGGUGUCGUAAGUCGGAUGUGAAAGCCCUCGGCUCAACCGGGGAACUGCAUUCGAUACUGCGAUGCUUGAGUGCCGGAGAGGGUAGCGGAAUUCCAGGUGUAGGAGUGAAAUCCGUAGAUAUCUGGAGGAACACCAGUGGCGAAGGCGGUUUCCUGGCCGGCAACUGACGCUGAGGUGCGAAAACGUGGGGGUCAAACAG
rnacentral:rRNA from 1 species